rnacentral:rRNA from 1 species
AUUGAACGCUGGCGGCAGGCCUAACACAUGCAAGUCGGACGGUAGCACAGAGGAGCUUGCUCCUCGGGUGACGAGUGGCGGACGGGUGAGUAAUGUCUGGGGAUCUGCCCGAUAGAGGGGGAUAACCACUGGAAACGGUGGCUAAUACCGCAUAACGUCGCAAGACCAAAGAGGGGGACCUUCGGGCCUCUCACUAUCGGAUGAACCCAGAUGGGAUUAGCUAGUAGGCGGGGUAAUGGCCCACCUAGGCGACGAUCCCUAGCUGGUCUGAGGGGAUGACCAGCCACACUGGAACUGAGACACGGUCCAGACUCCUACGGGAGGCAGCAGUGGGGAAUAUUGCACAAUGGGCGCAAGCCUGAUGCAGCCAUGCCGCGUGUAUGAAGAAGGCCUUCGGGUUGUAAAGUACUUUCAGCGGGGAGGAAGGCGGUGAGGUUAAUAACCUUGCCGAUUGACGUUACCCGCAGAAGAAGCACCGGCUAACUCCGUGCCAGCAGCCGCCGCCG